UACGGAGGAGGCAAGCGUUAUCCGGAAUUAUUGGGCCUAAAGCAUCCGUAGCCGGCCUUACAAGUCCUCCGUUAAAUCCAGCUGCUUAACAGAUGGGCUGCGGAGGAUACUAUAAGACUAGGAGGCAGGAGAGGCAAGCGGUACUCAGUGGGUAGGGGUAAAAUCCGUUGAUCCAUUGAAGACCACCAGUGGCGAAGGCGGCUUGCCAGAAUGCGCUCGACGGUGAGGGAUGAAAGCUGGGGGAGCAAACCGG
rnacentral:rRNA from 1 species